rnacentral:rRNA from 1 species
UACGAAGGGGGCUAGCGUUGCUCGGAUUUACUGGGCGUAAAGGGCGCGUAGGCGGACAUUUAAGUCGGGGGUGAAAUCCCCGGGCUCAACCCGGGAACUGCGUCCGAUACUGGCAGGCUUGAAUCCGGGAGAGGGAUGCGGAAUUCCAGGUGUAGCGGUGAAAUGCGUAGAUAUCUGGAGGAACACCGGUGGCGAAGGCGGCAUCCUGGACCGGCAUUGACGCUGAGGCGCGAAAGCCAGGGGAGCAAACAGG